UGGCUCAGUGGUAGAGCGCUUGCCUUGCAUGCCUGAGGCCUGGGGUUUGAUUCCUCA
rfam:Dipodomys ordii contig_5260, whole genome shotgun sequence.